GACGAACGCUGGCGGCGUGCUUAACACAUGCAAGUCGAACGGAAAGGCCCUGCUUUUUUGGGGUGCUCGAGUGGCGAACGGGUGAGUAACACGUGAGUAACCUGCCCUUGACUUUGGUAUAACUUCAGGAAACUGGGGCUAAUACCGUAUAGGAUCUCCUGCUGCAUGGUGGGGGUUGGAAAUUUUCGGCGGUUGGGGAUGGACUCGCGGCUUAUCAGCUUGUUGGUGGGGUAGUGGCUUACCAAGGCUUUGACGGGUAGCCGGACUGAGAGGGUGACCGGCGACAUAGGGACUGAGAUACGGCACAGACUCAUAAGGGAGGAAGAAGUGGGGAAUAUUGAACAAUGGGCGGAAGCCUGAUGCAGCAACGCCGCGUGCGGGAUGACGGCCUUCGGGUUGUAAACCGCUUUCGCCUGUGAAGAAGGGUGAGUGAAGGUAAUGGGUAGAGAAGCAACGGCUAAAUACGUG
rnacentral:rRNA from 1 species